GGAAUAUUGGUCAAUGGGCGAGAGCCUGAACCAGCCAAGUAGCGUGCAGGAUGACUGCCCUAUGGGUUGUAAACUGCUUUUAUGCGGGAAUAAAGUGAGGCACGUGUGCCUUUUUGUAUGUACCGCAUGAAUAAGGACCGGCUAAUUCCGUGCCAGCAGCCGCGGUAAUACGGAAGGUCCGGGCGUUAUCCGGAUUUAUUGGGUUUAAAGGGAGCGCAGGCCGAAGGUUAAGCGUGACGUGAAAUGUAGCCGCUCAACGGCUGAACUGCGUCGCGAACUGGCUUUCUUGAGUGAGUUCGAUGUAGGCGGAAUUCGUGGUGUAGCGGUGAAAUGCUUAGAUAUCACGAAGAACUCCGAUUGCGAAGGCAGCCAACAAGGCCUUUACUGACGCUAAAGCUCGAAGGUGCGGGUAUCGAACA
rnacentral:rRNA from 1 species